CAGGCUGUGCGUUAUCCCCUACCAGAGCUAUGGAGUGUGACAAUGGUGUUUGUGUCCAGUCUAUCAAACGCCAUUAUCACACUAAAUAGCUACUGUUGGGCAAUCCAUCUGUUCCAAG
rnacentral:pre_miRNA from 15 species